AACUUUCAGCAAUGGCUCACUUGGCUCUCGCAUCGAUGAAGAACGCAGCGAAAUGCGAUACGUAAUGUGAAUUGCAGAAUUCAGUGAAUCAUCGAAUCUUUGAACGCACCUUGCGCACCUUGGCAUUCCGAGGGGCACACCCGUUUGAGUGUCGUGAAAUUCUCAAACCUUCUUGGUUUCUUGAUCAAGAUGGCUUUGGACUUUGGAGGCAUUUUGCUGGCUUUGCGAAAAGCCAGCUCCUCUUAAAUACAUUAGUGGGAUCCCCGUUGCCGAUCCCCAGGCGUGAUAAGAUAUUUCUACGUCUUGGGAUUUGCUCUGUUCCUUGGGAACCCGCUUCCAACCGUCUCAUGGGAGACAUCGUUCGAGUUUGCUCGACCCACGAACCUUGACCUCAAAUCGGGUGAGACUACCCGCUGAACUUAAGCAUAUCAAUAAGCGGAGGCU
rnacentral:misc_RNA from 1 species